rnacentral:rRNA from 1 species
AUGGCGCAUAACAAAUCUCCUGGCCCUGAUGGUUUUACUACUGAGUUUUAUCAUCACCUUUGGGAAUUGAUAAAAGAUGAUCUCAAACAAAUGUUUGAUGAUUUUUAUAAUGGGGUUCUAGAUAUUAAAAGACUGAAUUAUGGGAUUAUUACUCUAUAACCUAAGAGUAAAUAUGCCAACCAGAUUCAAAAAUAUAGGCCUAUAUGCUUGCUGAAUGUGAUUUUUAAAGUCUUCACCAAAGUACUAAUGAAUAGAUUAAAUUUGGUGGCUGACAUAAUAGUUUCUCUAGUUUAAACUGUCUUUAUUAAAGGUAGAUACAUCAUGGAAGGGGUUCUGGUGUUACAUGAAGCUCUAAACAGUGUGCAUACCAAAAAAUAA